UGAAGCAACUGGCAGGGGAGAUACCACAAUCAAGAAGGUGGUUUCCCAGGGUGAGACCUGCCCCUUGCACUCCAAACAGGCUGACCCCUGCAAGUUUCUCUGAGGACAGGAAACUCAAUUGCACAAUUCUGUGGCAAUAGGGAACUGCAUUCAUGCUUUUCCUGG
rnacentral:snRNA from 1 species